GGGCCCGCACAAGCGGUGGAGUAUGUGGUUUAAUUCGAUGCAACGCGAAGAACCUUACCAGGGUUUGACAUCCUGCGAAUCUCUUGGAAACUUGAGAGUGCCUUCGGGAGCGCAGUGACAGGUGGUGCAUGGCUGUCGUCAGCUCGUGUCGUGAGAUGUUGGGUUAAGUCCCGCAACGAGCGCAACCCACGUCUUUAGUUGCCAGCAUUUAGUUGGGCACUCUAGAGAGACCGCCGGUGAUAAACCGGAGGAAGGUGUGGAUGACGUCAAGUCAUCAUGCCCCUUACAUCCUGGGCUACACACGUGCUACAAUGGUGGGGACAACAGGUUGCCAACCCGCGAGGGUGAGCC
rnacentral:rRNA from 1 species